GCACUCACUUAGGCAGCAUAUAGACUAAAAUUGGAAUGGUACACAGAAGAUUAGCAUGGGCUCUGUGCGAGGAUAACACAUAAAUUCGUGAAGUGGUCCAUAUUUUU
rnacentral:snRNA from 1 species